UGAGCUCAACUAACAACUUCUACCGAGGACCCCUGGACCAACUUGCUGACCCCUUCACUGGUCUACAGUGUUCUCCUCUGGAGGACACUACAACUACAGGUCCCCUUCUUUGCCCCUAUCCAGCAGGAAGUAGCUACAGCAGUCAUCACCCAAUUCCCAACAGCAGUUGGGCUGUCCUGUUUAGAGUGGGGAUUGAGAGGUGAAGCCAGCUGGGCUUCUGGGUCAGGUGGGGACUUGGAGAACUUUUGUGUCUAGCUAAAGGAUUGUAAAUGCACCAAUCAACACUCUGUAAAAACACACCAAUCAGCACUCUGUAAAAUGGACCAAUCAGCAGGACAUGGGCAGGGCCAAAUAAGGGAAUAAAAGCUGGCCACCCGAGCCAGCAGCAGCAACCUGCUGGGGUCCCCUUCCACACUGGAAGCUUUGUUCUUUUGCUCUUCACAAUAAAUCUUGCUGCUGCUCACUCUUUGGGUCCGCACUACCUUUAGGAGCUAUAACACUCAUUGCAAAGGGUUGUGGCUUCACUCUUCAAGUCAGCAAGACCACGAACCCACUGGGAGGAACAAUGUACCACCUUUAAGAGCUCUAACACUCACUGAGAAGGUCUGCAGCUUCACUCCUGAAGUCAAGUGAGACCACGAACCCACUGGAAUGAAGAAACUCCAGACACGUCUGACCAUCUGAAGGAACAAACUCUGGGCACACCAUCUUUAAGAACUGUAACAGUCACCGCGAGGGUCUGCAGCUUCAUUCUUGAAGUCAGCGAGACCAAGAACCCACCGGAAGGAACCAAUUCUGGACAUAUUAAUACAUGAGAAAGAAGAGACAGAUUCAGUGGCCUCAUGCUGUCUUUAUUGGCUCUUGUUUUUUGGAAAGCUGAGUCUCCCCUGUGUCUACAAGUAUUGCUUUUUUGCCUUUUAAAAACUUUAAAUUAUCAUUUUGGACUUACAGUUACCUGGAUUCUGUUUUGUGAAGCUCCAUGAGCUAGAGCUUGAAAAUUCAAUGUAAAUUUCAAGAGAAUAUUCUCAUGCCAGAUGUGUGGGCCACUCAGAGACUUCACAAAUGCCCAGUGCCAUGACCAGAGACAUUGAAACUGAAAACCAGGAUAAGAAGUUGAUGACUUCACUCUGUGGACAGCUCUAUGAGAACAAGACUCCACAUCAUAAUGAGACUCUUAGUCCCUUAAUUCUUUCUGGCUUAUGCCUACCUCUUUCGCUUGGCAAGAUGAUGCUAUAAUUAAAAUUUCACAAUCAAUGGCUUCUGUGAGAAACUUGAUGGAGUGUUGGAUCAUUCAUAUCAAACCCAAAUCUUUUAUGACCUAAGGGAUCCUCCAGUUCACCUGGUGGCUAAUGUUAGCAACAGCUUUAAAGCAACUGCUUCAAAUUAUAUGAAUGAUCUCUUUAUAUAGCAUUAGACUUCUAGACCCACAUGUUCUCACUGCCUGUUUCAAUUUAAUCCAGCCUUGGGAUGCUUGAUAAUAGAUUUGCUACAUACUAGCUGAAUAGAAAGGAGUCUUGCAGUUGCUAAUAUUUCUUGUUGCACGUGGAUGAAUACGUCAAGUACUGUAGUGACUCAGCUGCAAAAAUUAACAAACAAGCUACUUGGUUAAAGCAGGUAGAAUCCUAAUCUGGCUUUUUCUUUAGUCUAUUUAAUUUUAGUUGAUUUGGUUCCUGAGCACUCUGGCUGAGAAGCACACUUCAAACUCUUGGUAUUAUACUCCUUAUAGUCAUAAUACUUUGUAGAAUAGAGGCUGCAUGAUUCAUGAAUUAUGAAUAAAAG
rnacentral:lncRNA from 1 species